ensembl:lncRNA
UCCUCUUCUGCUGGAAUCACAGGGGGAUUUUUGUUUGAAACUCACUGUGAGGACCUGCUAGAGAUUCUGAAGGCAAAGCUCACAGAAAUGUGGAGUGGCUCCCAAUUACUGGGUCCCUCUGGAGUUUUUAUCUCUUAGUCUUAACCACAUGAAGCCUCCAGCAAUUUGUCAACUACAGCUCAAGUUCCCUACUCCAGCCCUGGUUCCCAAAAGGUUUCUGCUCCAACAGAAGGAUGAACCAAGAUCUCAUUUAACUAGUUGAUACCAUAAGAGAUGAGGUCAUUUGGACUGGUCAGGACGUGUGUUGUUUUUGAGUCCUAAGAUGGAUGUUGCGUUGUCUAUAUCAAUAAUUGUAUUUUAUAUAAAUAUAAGCACCUGCUUAUAUGUGCAGAACAGAAAAAAAUGUGGAGAAAGAGAACAGUUCAGAGGUUGCCUGGAAUAAAGAGGUGAGAGCAAGGAUUGACUGUAGUACACACAGGGAACUUUUUGGGGGUGAUGGAAGUAUUCUAAAACUAGAUCUUGAUGAGUCUUGCACAAUAGUAUAAGUUUACUAAAACUCAUCAAACAGUACAUUCAAAAAUUCCGAAUUUUUAAAAUUCAAUUUACACUAGCAUCAAAAAGAAUAAAAUGCUUAGUAAUAAAUUUAACCCAGAAGAUGUAAGACUUGUGCUCUGAAAACUACAAAACAUUGCUCAAAGAAGGGAAAGAAUACCUAAAUAAAUGGAGAGACAUGCUGUGUUCAUAGACCGGAGGACUUAUAUUGUUAAGAUGUCAAUACUUCCCAAAUCGACAGAGUCCAUGCAACCCCGAUCAAAAUGUCAAUGGCCUUUUUUGCAAAUGUCCUCAAAUUCACAUGGAAGUUAGAAGGAUCUCAAAUAGCCAAAACAAUAUUGAAAAAGAAGAUAUGUAAGUGACUAAUGAGCAUGUGAAAAUAUGUUCAACUUCACC